AAGUCGUAACAAGGUCUCCGUUGGUGAACCAGCGGAGGGAUCAUUACCGAGUUUACAACUCCCAAACCCCUGUGAACAUACCUUAAUGUUGCCUCGGCGGAUCAGCCCGCGCCCCGUAAAACGGGACGGCCCGCCAGAGGACCCAAACUCUAAUGUUUCUUAUUGUAACUUCUGAGUAAAACAAACAAAUAAAUCAAAACUUUCAACAACGGAUCUCUUGGUUCUGGCAUCGAUGAAGAACGCAGCAAAAUGCGAUAAGUAAUGUGAAUUGCAGAAUUCAGUGAAUCAUCGAAUCUUUGAACGCACAUUGCGCCCGCUGGUAUUCCGGCGGGCAUGCCUGUUCGAGCGUCAUUUCAACCCUCAAGCCCUCGGGUUUGGUGUUGGGGAUCGGCUCUGCCUUCUGGCGGUGCCGCCCCCGAAAUACAUUGGCGGUCUCGCUGCAGCCUCCAUUGCGUAGUAGCUAACACCUCGCAACUGGAACGCGGCGCGGCCAUGCCGUAAAACCCCAACUUCUGAAUGUUGACCUCGGAUCAGGUAGGAAUACCCGCUGAACUUAA
rnacentral:misc_RNA from 1 species